UACGGAAGGGGCGAGCGUUGUUCGGAAUCAUUGGGCGUAAAGGGCGCGUAGGUGGUUGAUUAAGUCAGAUGUGAAAUCCCUGGGCUUAACCUAGGAAUUGCGUUUGAAACUGAUUGGCUAGAGUAUGGGAGAGGGAAGUGGAAUUUCCGGUGUAGCGGUGAAAUGCGUAGAUAUCGGAAGGAACACCAGUGGCGAAGGCGACUUCCUGGCCUGAUACUGACACUGAGGCGCGAAAGCGUGGGGAGCGAACAGG
rnacentral:rRNA from 1 species